rnacentral:lncRNA from 1 species
GAGACUGCCUGAGACUUUGUGUGAAUUAUAUAAUUUACAAAAGCUAGAUAUUAGGGGUUGCGUAUAUCUUAGAGAAUUGCCUGCGGGGAUUGGGAAGUUAAUGAACAUGAGGAGUUUACUGAAUGGUGAAACUGAUUCGUUGAAGUACCUACCAAUAGGGAUUUCUAGAUUGACCAGCCUUCGAACAUUAGAAAAGUUUGUUGUGGGUGGAGGUGUUGAUGGUGGCGGCACGUGUAGGCUUGAAUCUCUGAAAAAUCUUCAACUCCGUGGUAAAUGUUGUAUAGAAGGGCUGAGUAAUGUGUCGCAUGUAGAUGAGGCUGAGAGGUUACAACUUUACAAUAAGAAAAACCUCCUUCGUUUGUAUCUUGAGUUUGGUGGAGCCGUAGAUGGGGAAGGCGAAGCAGGGAGGAGGAAGAACAAUGAGAAAGAUAAACAACUUCUUGAAGCCUUACAACCGCCUUUGAAUGUAGAGGAGUUAAGGAUUAUAUUCUACGGAGGCAACAUUUUUCCCAAAUGGUUGACUUCACUAACCAACCUAAGGGAUUUAAUACUUUUCUUCUGCGUUAACUGUGAGCAUUUGCCUCCUUUAGGAAAAUUGCCUCUGGAAGAACUCGGACUAUUGAACUUGAAAAGUGUAAAAAGAGUGGGAAAUGAGUUUUUGGGAAUAGAAGAAAGCACUGAGGAUGAUCCAUCUUCAUCUUCAUCGUCAUCAUCAGUUAUUGCCUUCCCCAAAUUGAAAUAUCUCGAAAUUUGGGGAAUGGAAGAAUUGGAAAAGUGGAAUUACAGGAUUACAAGAAAGGGAAACAUCUCCAUCAUGCCACGUCUUUCUGCCUUGUCGAUUUGUGAUUGCCCCAAAUUAAAGGUGCUGCCGGAUUACAUUCUUCAAACAACGACACUGCAGGAAUUGAGGAUUGAGGACUGCCCUAUUCUAGAAGAACGUUACAGAGAGGGGAAAGGAGAAGACUGGCAUAAGAUUUCUCACAUUCCCCACAUCAAGUGGUCGCCGUAAGAUAUCACUCGCCGGUAAUUCCUCCUCCUCUGAUUUACUUCGUUAUUGCUUGUAAUGAAAUUAAUGAAAAUAAUUAUAUUUUGAAUUAAAAUUCUAUAUUAUUAUUAUUUCUCUCCUCGAAUGGUUGAAAUUUCACUCGCCCCGUAAAUUCUCGAAUGGUUGCAAUUACUAUCACCCGCCGGUAAUUUCUCUCCUCUGUUUUACUUCAACCAUUAAUUUAAUGGGUCACUCUAUGAUGUUGUUAUAAAAAUUAUAGAAUCAAUCAUGGUAUAAAUAUGUACUGUUAGAUUUAAUCAAUGGUUCAUGAAGUUAAAAGUUAAUUAGGAUAAUAUUUUAAAUUCAAUUAUUUAAAAUUUAAACUUCCUAGUUAUUAAAUCUAUUAAACUUGUUUUAUCAAAGCUAAAUAAUUAAAAAAAAAGUAUAGUCUGUUGAAAUUUCUAUAUUUUCUUUUAAAAAACAUGUAGUCUUUUGUAAAAUUUCAUACAACAUCAUAGAAAACCUAACGUAUUUUAUUUUUUAAUGCACGAAAAUUUGUUAUGUGUAACUUCCUGAGAGACAAAAUCUCUGUGAUGCAUUUGCAGUAAUGUUGAAAACUAAAUUAUCAAUUUUAUCUUGUAUAAUGAUAAUCGUGUUUUUUUAUAUAUAAUUUAUGUGACAUUAAUUCUUUAAAGUAAUUGUGUAAUUGUUUUUAGUAGUACAUUAGCCCACUUUGUUUUAUUUCAUACGAGUUUAAUAAUGUUCGCCAGGGAUUCGAGGAAAUGUCAGAACUACACUAAGAAUUCACAGGUCCAAGCUAAUUUAGUUUUAAUGAUGCAGGUAGGAGAGCAAGACUAAGAAAAUGAAAAGUUUAGCCAAAAGAUUACUAAAAUGUUCUGCUGGUAAUUCACUUGCCUUGUUUAAUAGAAUUUCAUUUCCAUCUUCUUCUAUUGAUAUCUUGUUGUGAAUAAACAAGAACAUAGAAGUAAAUAAUUGAAACGCAGAGAAGUAAAGAUAUAUCAAAAUUCGCUAUUAUGAUGAUGUUAAAGCAAGCUCAAGCAUUGCAUUUUUAUUUUAUUUAAUUUAUAGAAUUUUCAUUUCCACCUGCAUUGCAUUUUUACUUCAUUUUUAGGUUGACGUUGAAGACUCUUAUGGAGAACAUUGGAGUAACCAAGGAUUAUUACUGUGGUUAUUGUGCAACGUUUGGUUGCUGGACUUUGAAGAAGGAAGUGAUGGCCGGGUCUGCUCUGUUUCAAUUGAGGAUGGAUAGCUGCCUGAAAGACAUGAUGAUUAUUAUUGCAUGAUGUUUAGGUGCUAAGAUCAUCAUUUCUAUCUUGCUUCAUUCUUGGAAUCAUUUAUCCUAUAUAAACAUAUUGAAUUGUGCUAAUAUUAUCACUUGUGUCAAUGGAGGCAGGAAUUUGGUGCUGAAACUAUUAUGCAGGUAACCACACUUGAUAAUUUACACAAAUUUGCGUUGUCAGAAUAUCCUUUAAUAUUCAUUGUGUUUCUUUGUGUUAUCAGGUUAUCAUGGUAUAUAGAGUAUCAUUUUCAAGGAUUUGUAAGAGCUUUCGCAGUAAAGUUAGUCAUCACCACCUUGUGCAAUUGCACAUACAUUCAUAGUACUUCAAUAUUAGAUUUUCAAGGUUUGUAUGUUUAGUUGAGAUUAAAAUGUUUAGUCACUCAUUCUUAAUCUUUUCUGAUUUUCAAGUUCUUUAGGGCCAUAAACAGUUUUUCCAACUCAUUCUUAUUUUUUAGGUUGAUUUCGAGUACUCUGUGGAGAACAUUGGUGAGACAAAGGAUUAGACUGGCGAUGGAACUGCUGCCUCUGCUGUUAUUGUGCAAGGUUUGAUCACUGGACCUUGAACAAGAAAGCCUUACACGCAUUCUGUAAUUCAAGCGUUCUCUAAAACGAACGAGCAGUAGAAGGAAUAGUAUGACCGGAUCUGCUCUAUUUUAAUUGAAAAUCUCUGUGAUGUUGACGAGCUUAAAGUAGUUGAUGCUUUUUGAAAAUUGUUAUUACGAAUGAAUUCAUUCCUGAAGACGAGUAGCUAAUGAUUGUUAAGGCUUAUUUUCUUAAAGUUCCUUUCUUAACAAAUGUUUCAAUGCUGGCUGUAGUAACAUUUUCAUAUCUUGCAUCUCUCGGGUGCAUCAUGUUCGCGGGUUUGAAAAAGCAUUUUUGGUAAAGUUUCAAAGGUUGUACAACGGCUGUGAAAAGGCAUAUUCAAUUCGGUACGUUUUGGUGUGGUCUCCUAAUGCUAAUAUCAUAUUUUGUAUAGCAAUUAAAAUUUAGGUAUACAAUCUUAAUAUGCAAUAAAUCAUUGUGUACAAAGUUUUCUAUUAAUUAUAUGGUGACUGAAAUUUUAAUUAUAAUUUUAAUUAUCAUAUCAAUCUUAAAUUUUUUUGUAACUCUUUUUUACUUUGCUUGUACAGAGUACCUGUUUUGGCUGAUAUGUCUAGUUCGUAGAAAUUCAUUUCCACUGGUUUCCAUUUGCUUUAGCACAAACAGAAACAGAGCUCUGGGGAAAAGUUUGACUUCUUGUGGUAUUAUGCCGUUGUUUCUUCAUUCAUCAUAUUAUUCGAAUUCAUGCUCUCAUUCAGAGGGUGAAGCCUUUUCUAGGCUGCUUUGUAGCCAAAUUUUUACGCCAUUGAUGCAUGACUGUCAUUUAGAUUUUCCAAAUAACUGCUAGAUUAGAGAAGAAUAAGAAGAUAUUGUUAAAAGGGUAUUUAAUUAGCGCCCUCUGAAUUUAGUUGCCAAUAAUGCAUUGAAAUAGUCGGGGAAAGUUAUUUUCUUAAUUAAAUUACAGGUGAUAAGAUGCUGCUUCAAUUUUGCAAGCAUCUCGUAUUGCGAAGAUUUUGCCCACAUGAGAUCCCACUAUUCUUGACAUCAGGGUAACGCAGGUCAAAUUUUAGUAUCAAUAUAUAUCUUCUUCUUUACUGUUCUGCCUCUAAAUAUUAAACUUUAGGCAAGUUGUUUUUGUUUGUGUAAGUUAUCAGGUUCAGGAUACUAAGCAGCUUAAUUGUUCGCCACACCUAGUAUGAAUGAUGGCCAGGAACAUUAAUUGUUCACAAGCCAAUUUGAUUAGUGUUAGAUUUUUUGCCUUCCUUCGAAAGAUAUCAUCAUCAAAUUUGAGUUGAGAAUAUUUGAAGAGAAUUUUGUUUUGAGAGUUUCACUGUAGUGAAUUUUGGGUUUGCGUUUGAGCACACACAAAGGAUGCACUAAAUAUAACAAAAGUAUAUUUCUACUUCUUGUGGUUAUUUUAAUUUUGUUUCUCGUGUCAUCAUAUUUGAUUAAUUCGUUCGAAUUCACACUCACACAUUUCCAUGAAUAAUUGUUAGGCUGGUGGAGAUAUUUUUAAAAGGGCAUUAACCUACCUUAUGGAAUUGGAAAGUUAUUAUUUCUUGAAAGCAGGCAGCAUCUUCGUUGCGUAGGCUUUCCCCACUUGAUAAGAUGCUGACAUUGUUACCGGCCCCUUAAUUAUUUAUUAACUCAGGUAUUUAUUAUCAAGUACAUCAUCUUAUUCAACAUUUUGGCUAUAUAUAAAGAUUAUAAUUUCUAACAGUUGUUUCGGAUUCUUGUGUACUCAGGUUAAUAGGGCAAAUGUCAGAAUGAAGACUGUUCAGUUUAACCCGUAUAGCAAGGAUGAUAGCGGUGAGGAAGAUUGUUGGCAAGCCAAAUAGAGCCCUCCAUUUUGAGAAAUAUCAUCCGCAUAUUUGAAUUGUUGAGCAUGUGAAGUGAACCUUCUUAUGGAAAUACCUUCCUGUUUGACUUGCAAAAUACAUUACAAAAGCUCCCAAACAGUAUAUUUGAACAGAGUUACCCAUUUUGAGAAUUUUGACUCCCAAACAAGACUGCAGAGUUGUGUAUGGUGGGAUUAGCUGCAGGAGCAGUGCAAGAUUCUUUGUCAAACUAUCUGGCUGGUAAAAAGACUGUUGCCAAACUUCCUUUUCAUUCCUUUGUUCACUUACUCGUUAUAAAUAAAGUAAAAUUAGAAUAUUGUUCCGUUUACUGUCUAAGCCGGUCUAACAUUUGUUUAAUUUGGGCAAUUUUUAAUGCCUGACAGGUUAUCUGUGACAAACCCAUCUGUGAGUACUAAUGUGCUUGGUUAUGGUGCUUUCAUUGGACUACAUGCAAACAUGAGAUAUCAGCUAUUGUGUGGAUUUGAUAGAGACGUCGCCAACCAUUUUGAAGUUAUUGGAGUAGCAAUGUUGUUAAGCACGGCUUUGAGGUCUCUCCCACCCUCUUUUACGUAUUUGUCAAUGAUCGACAUCUCUAUAUAUACAUUGAUACACCAAAUUACUCUUGUUUUAAUGUUUUGUUUGUUGAACUUUGACUGGGUUAUUUGUUUAUUUGUCUCAUAUGAUGUUAAUGCGGUUCCUAUAAAAGUGGAUAUAGAUCUAUCACCUCAAAGUCUGAUUUCAACUUUCCUUCACUUAAUCAACUAGCAUCCUUUCCAAGUCCAGAUACUUACCAAUAGUGAGACUUUGCUACGGAAGUACAAUUUCUCUUGUUUUACAGUUAAAUAUGUAAGAAUAGUUUCAAAUUUACAGAAUUCUGAUAUAGUUCUCUAAGGAAAUGCAGGUGGUGAAUAUGGUUCCAACUUUUAAUAGGCUUUAAUAGGCCCAUUUGUUCAGCCACAGUGAUUGCGGUCUAAAUUCUUCUUUACUGUCUGUAUGUGUUGGAGUUUGUCUAUUGUCCAACUUCUCCAAUGGAUUCCAUGCAGGGUUUUGGAUGUCUAAUUAGGAGAAAGAUCGACAGAUGACCUUUUGAAGAAGGCUUACACAACAGGCCAUCUCAGGAUGUCAUGGCUCAGCACAAAAGUGCCCAGGUGGUUACUGAGCAAGAUAGAGAGAGAAGUUUUUUCUUCUUCAGGCUACCUUCCGCAGCUGUGGCAUACAUGAACUAAGUAGCUACGCGAUCAACAGAAAGUUAGUGACGUGACUUGGGGAUCGAGGGAUUGAUACCAAAGAAUGCCAUUUUUCUGAGCUUGGGCUCCUUGGCUUCAAACAAAACAGUGUUGACUCUAUUGAAGGGGAAAUAGGGGCAACUAAAGCUCGAAGAAAGAGGAUAGUCCGGAGGAAGGUGACUGCAUAAAUUUCUUGGAGUUAAUGUAGUCAAUUGCCCAAUUUUGCUGCCUGUCGAAGAGACACAGCAUGGAAGUCCUCAUCAAACUCUGAGACACCUAAGAACUAGUAGGAGGUGGUGGUAUUCUCCAUAUUUCCUGACAAGUAUAGUUAAUUUUGUUUUAGCUAUGAAUUGUUUCCUAGAUAAUAAUAAUUGCCUUGUUCCUUUGGAGUCUUAUUUACUCUCCGUAACUCAGUUCAAUUUUGCAAAUUCUAUUUCAGAUUUCUUAUAUAGUGUGUCUUUGUUACUUUUGUGAUGCCUUUUUUAUCGCAAGUUUCCAUUUGAAGUAUCCGAUAUUCUUUACAGACUAAUUAUCUAAUGAUUAUUUUAUACAAAAAAAAUCAUAACUUUAAUCAAUUGAUCAUACUCAACUUAGGUCUUGUUUGAUGUUACUAGCUGUUGUUAAAAUAAAAAAAGCUGAAAUUUGACAAUGUGUAAUAAAUGUAAGACUUUUAAAUAAUAAUUUUUAAUACAAUUAAUAAAGAUAUUAUAAGUUUUUUUAUUAUAAUAAAAUAUGAGAUCAAAUCAAAUUAAUUUUUAAGUUACAAUAGCAAAUAUUUACCAAAACUGUUUAAUUAUGUAGCUUAAAAAGUAUAGUUCUCCAACCUCAACAUUAUAUAGGGAUUUUCCAGACUCUACCAGACUUUAGUUGUACUCACUCGAUCAUGCAAAUCCAUACUCAAUGUGCUUGGCCAUACAAGAUGUUACUCAACUUUAACAAGUCUUACUCAAACUUUGCAUGUUUGGCAUGCCGGAUGGAAUAUGAUAGUAUAUGAUGUGGUAGAAUAUUAUAGGAAUAGUAAUAACAAGAUUACAUGUAGUACUAGGUUACAUUUUACGUGAUGUGGUAUAUGAAUGGAUUAUAUUACAAAUUUUUUUGUUAUAAUAAUUAAAAAUUUGAAUUAUUUUAUUAUUGAAAAAAUGUAAUAUGUUAAAUAACAGUUAUUUUUAUUAAGUAAUUUCUUUGUAAUGAAUUAUACUUUUAAAAUAUAAUCGAAAAUUCUUAUUACUAAACUAAUAAAAAGUUAAUUAUUUGAGUUAUCUCCUAAACUACUUAGCUCACGGGAUAAAUUCACUUAGUUUAGAACGAAACAGUGGAUUUUAGAGCAUCACCAAAAGACUCUUCAAAUAAGAUUUUAUUACUUAUUUGAAGAACCACAUCAACAUUUAAAACUCCAAAAAACACUUCAAUUAAAACUUUUCAAAUAAAAAAUGAUUCUCUUUCUUCAAAUUUGGAGAGUUGCUUUCUCCCUCUUCAAUUUAUAUUUUAUUACUUUUUAUUAGAGAGAGAAAGAGAAGUGCUUUAAUUGCUAUUAACUUUUCCUCUAAAAAAAAUAAUUAUUUGAUUAAAAUAAUAUUAACUUAUUUUUAUUUGAAGAGUUUUUUGGCGAGUAGUAUAUUUUUUACCUUUCUAUUUACCACAUAAGUAAGUAAAUAAAUAGUUGAAAAGUAAAAUGUAUUAAAACUUUGAGUGGGACUACUGGCACCCCUCUAAAUACCUUUUAACACCCCUUUAGUUAUUUUAUAAUUUUAACCUUUAUUAAAAUUACAUAAUAAGACAAUCAUGAAUUUUACAAUUCUAAAUACCUCUUAACACCCCUUUCUUUUGUUUUUAUUUUAUUUUUUUAACAUUUCCGAGUUUACUCCAACUGCAAAUUAAUUUAUGAAUUAUGAUCUACAUACUAUAAAUUUAAGUAAUGCUACAAGCGACUGUAAAUAUUAAAAUAUCAGCAGAAAAAUAAAAAUAUCUUGAUUAAGAGACAAAAUAAAUAGUACCUGAAAUUGAAAUUCAGCAUUUUAAAAAUUAAGAAAGUUACUUUUUCAUCUUAUUUUCUGGUGAGGAAUUAUCGACAUCAGCAACUCAUCAUCAACAAACUUCAGAGAAGAAACUGAGACCUAUGAGGGAAAUUAAGAAAAAAGAAGGUAAUUAUGAAGCAAAGGACGAGCUUAACAAUCAUCAGAAUUAUUUUCCCACCGACAUGUUUUCCAGUGCCCCAGUUGUCUUUCUCCACAAAGGCACGCAGUCUUUCGAAGAAUUCGUGAUUCUGCAUUUUCAGAAGCUUGUGCUCAACAUCUUCAUCAGUAAACCAAAUUAGCACUUGGCCUUAUAAUUACACGCAUGGUAGCCAAGUGUUUGCAAGGUGUCAUUAUCAAUUACAAUGAGUUUAAAGUGCUGGCCAUGUGGUGUUUCAAUGAUUUGCCACAUUGAAGUCGAAGUUUCGUGGAGCAAGUUCCCUUUUCCUUUUUUUUUUUCCUUCUCUCUCUCUUUUUUUUCAAUAGAUGAUUAAUUGUCUCAAAAUCAGUCAAAAAUUAAAUGGGGUUUAUAUUAAUAAAUUUGAAUUAAGGAUAUUUUUAUCAUUAAAAGGGUGUUAAAAGAAUUUUAUAAUAUUUUUAAAUAUUUUAAUAGGGUUAAUAAAAAAAAGAGGUGUUGAGAGAUAUUUAGAGGGGUGCCAAUAGUCUCACUCAAAAACUUUUGAAGAUGCUCUUACUAACAUAAUUUUCUCCCAUUUCCAUAAUGUCCGCGUUGAGUGCAUGUAAUCCACGAGUUUGAUUGAGCAGAAUAGCCGAAAGUCUAAUGAUACCCACAUCCAACUUUGUCACAAAGGCCUGGACGCCAUUCCUUAAGCCCAUGUUGUUUCGGUUUUGAUGUUGUAUUAUCAUUUCACGGGUUUUGGUGCUCUAGGAUUUGGGGAUGGUGCUUCAACGCUGUGUUUAAUGCGUCCCUUUUGGCACUUUUUGUUAAUUUUUAUUCCAAGAGCUAUGCUAAGAAAAAGAAGCAGGGAUGAUCAAAGUGUUGUGAUUGUUUUGUGUUUUCUUUUUUAAUUUAUUUGAUUUUGGUUAAUUAUGAAUGGUGGUAAUUGGUUGAAUGCAAUUGAAGAGAUGCUUUCAAUUGCCUAAACUUUGUUUUUUCAAUUUUUGUAAUAAAUGUCAUUUGUCACCACAUUUUUUUAGUCUCUCCCUUUUAAAUUCCCUCACACAAACUUCGGAUUUGUAUUUUGUAAACUAGUACUUUUCAUUUUCGUUAAUGUGUUAGCUAUUAUUAUCUACAGUUAUGUCAUACGACACACAUGUCACAUUAGCUAAAAUUAGAUUAUGAAUUUUGGGCACAGGACCAAGUCCCACCGUUUGGUAGGAAAUAAGUGUUGGAUCAUAAACUUGAUCCAAAAUAAAUAAAUUCAAGUCCAACUCAUGGAAGAUUCCAUGAGUAGGUAUACUUGGUGAGGUUUGAAUUAUUUGUGUUAGGUGUGGUAGGUUUUAAUGGAUGGUGAGAAUUUGUGUAUUAGUUGAAUAAAUAGAUUGUUGUGAUUAGUUUGUUUCAUGUUUAAAUACCCCCCUCCCCUUUGGUUUAAAUAUAAAGUGAAGUAACAAAAUCUCUAAGGUGUAGAGAGUGAAAAAUAAGAGUUGUAAUUAGUGAGGAGUGUUAUUGAAGAAAUAAAAUAGUGUGUUUUAUUUGUUAAUUCUCCAAAAAAUGGUAUCAGAGCUAGUGUUUGAUGCUAUAUAUAGUAAUAUAGCAUAUCAAAUCGAAGAUCUCGACGAGAGGAACGUGACGCCGCAAAAAUCAUCCCGAUCCGAGACUGGACGCGCCCACACAUGCCGCCGGAAGCUUUAUGUCCUGAAGCUAAGUCGACUCACCGAGUUGAACCAAGCUGAGCCGAACCGAACCAAGCCGAGUCGAGCUGAACCGAAUCAAGUCGAACCAAGCCAACUGGAGCUGAAUCAAUCCGGACCGAACCAAGACUAUUAAGCCAACGCUGACCGUUGACCGUUGAUUGAAAGUUGACUCGAGUCCUUCCCAAGGUUUUUUGAUGUGCCAGAUCCAUCUGUGCUUUUAGAAUCUCCAAAUUCUCACUCAAUUUAUGAGUUAUGGAAAAUGGUGGUAUGAUGUCAUUUCAAGUUCUACAAUUAAAGGGAAGUAAGUUUGACCAUUGGAGUAUUAAAAUGAAGACUCUAUUGGGUGCACAGACGUAUGGGAUGUCAUGGAAAAAGGAUUUAUUGUGCUAGAAAAUGAAGCUACUUUAACUGUGGCGCAGAAGGAGAAUUUAAAAGACUUGAAGAAGAAAGAGAAUAAAGCAAAGUAUCUCAUCUUUCAAUCAUUAGAAGAAGAUGCUUUUGAAAAGAUUGCUGGUACAACCUCCUCAAAAGAAGCAUGGGAGAAACUAGAGAUCUCUUACAAAGGAGCGGAGCAAGUUAAGAAGGUUCGUCUCCAAACAUUAUGAGGAGAAUUUAAGUCCUUACACAUGAAGGCGUCGGAGUCAAUUUCUGACUACUUUACUCGGGUUGUGACCGUUUCUAAUGAAUUAAAUAGAAAUGGCGAGGAGUUAAAAGAGGUAAGGAUCAUUGAAAAGAUACUUCGAUCAGUAGACUUGAAGUUUGACCAUAUUGUUGUGACAAUUGAGGAAACAAGAGAUCUAGAGGAUAUGACGAUCGAGCAACUUCAAGAAAGGCUGCAAGCCUAUGAAGAAAAACAAAAAAAGAAGCAAGGAAUCAAAGAACAACUUCUCAAGAUGGAGGUCAAUCCAAAGAAAAGAGAAGAAAGCUCCGACAACGGAAGAAGACAUAUUUAUCUCCCAUGAAAGCUAUACAAAGGAGAUUCUAAAAAGGUUCAAGAUGAAUGAUUGCAAGCCUAUAAGCACGACAAUGGAAUGCAGAGUCAAGUUAUCCAAACAUGAUGAAGGGGAAGAUAUAGAUCCAACAUUCUUUAAAAGUUUGGUCGGAAGCCUAUGUUAUUUGACAUGCACGAGACUAGAUAUCUUUUAUGUUGUUGGACUUGUGAGCCGAUACAUGAAGAAUCCAAAGACCACCCAUUUUAAAGUUGCAAAAAGAAUCCUUUGCUACAUCAAAGCUACAACUAAUUUCGACUUGUUAUACUCAUUUUCUAAUGACUACAAGCUUGUUGGAUAUAAUGAUAGUGAUUGGGGUGGAGAUGUAGAUGAUUGAAAGAGCACAACAUGAUUUGUGUUCUUCAUGGGAGAUACUGCUUUCACAUGGAUGUCAAAGCAGCAACCAAUUGUCACGCUAUCCACUUGUGAAGCUGAAUAUGUAGCUGCCACAUCAAGUGCUUGUCAUGCAAUUUGGCUUAGAAAUUUGUUGAAGGAGUUGGGUUUGCCACAAGAAGAGCCAACCAAAAUUUAUGUUGAUAACAAAUCAGUAAUUGCCCUCUCCAAGAAUCCAGUCUUUCAUGAUCGAAGCAAACACAUAGGCACUCGCUAUCAUUUCAUAAGAGAGUGUAUUGAAGAAAAGAAGUGCAAGUCAAGUAUGUAAAAUAACAAGAUCAAGCAGUUGAUAUCUUCACUAAGCCACUCAAGCAAGAAGACUUCGUAAAAUUCAGAAGUUUGCUUGGUGUCACAAGAUCAAGUUUAAGGGGGGGUGUUGGAUCAUAAACUUGAUCCAAGAUGAAUAAAUUCAAGCUCAACUCAUGGAAGGUUCUAUGAGUAGGUAUGGUUAGUGAGGUUUGAAUUAUUUGUGUUAGGUGUGGUAGGUGUGGUUGGUGAAGUAGGUGAGUGGUAGGUUUUAAUGGAUGGUGAGGAUUUGUGUAUUAGUUGAAUAAAUGAAUGGUUGUGAUUAUUUUUGUUUCAUGUAUAAAUACCCCCUCUCCCCUUUGGUUUAAAUAUCAAGUGAAGUAACAAAAUCUCUAAGGUGUAGAGAGUGAAAAACAAGAGUUGUAAUUAGUGAGGAGUGUGGUUGAUAGAAUAGAAUAGUGUGUUUUUUUGUGUGUUUUGUUUGUUAAUUCUCCAACAAUAAGGAGCAUUAAUGAAAUAUGUUUAAUUAAGUAAUAAUUUGUUAUUUUAGAGUGAAAAAUAAGGGUAAAUUGUAUUCUACCCCAUAUUAGAUUGACAAACUUCAAUUUACCCCCUAAAAGUACAAAAACUUCAACUUAUCUCCAAAUACCAUUUUCUUCCCGUUAAAUUCAACUAUCGAAAGCAUAAAAUUAUAGUCUUACAUUCUCUUAACAGUCAACUAACGGAUAAGGUAAUUUCCAUAAAACCCAAAUGUAGGGGCGGGCAACGGUUUGGUUUAGAAGUUAGGAACCGAAUGGUUUGAAAACAAACGAACCGAUUGGUUUAUAUUUGGUUUAGUUUGAACUGACAAACCGAUUGGUUCGCUUCAACUUAAUUAAAAAUACAUUUAUUUUAAAAUAUAAAUGCUUAAAAUAUUUUUUUUUUCAUUUUUCAGUUUCCUAAUCUAAAAAUGUUUCAUAACCCUAAAUCAACAGCCAUCUCUCUCAAGUUCGGCGGAGGCACAACAAGCUCUCUCGGUCUCUCCCUCGCAAUCUCAUGGUGAUUGAAUUCUUGUGAUGUCUCCACUUUUGUUUCUUGUUCUUGUGUGAUCGAAUUCUCUCUAUACACACAUACCCCAGCCUCUUGUUCUUUGGCUUAAUGGAGUUUCGUUUCUUUUCUCUCAGUUUCUUUCCUGUUGAAUUCUCGUGAUGUUUCUAUUUUUUUCUUGUUUUUUAGACGUGUUUUCGAAAUUGGCAUAAUGCGAACCAAACCCGAACUGAAUUUCAAAAUCGAAUCAAAUUGAACCAAACUGAAAUUUUUAUGUUCGGUUUGGUUCAAUUAAAAAAUUUGGUAUGCAUUCGGUUCUCUUUCUUAAGAACCAUUUGGUUUUAGUUCAGUUCGGUUUUGGUCUAGAAAAGAACCGAACCGAACCAAAACAAACCAUAUACUGGCCACCUUGCUCAAAUGUUUCAACAAAUUUCAAUGCACACUUAAACAUGUCAAUAAAAUUCGCUUUGUACCCAAAUUGAUAAUUUUUAUUUUUUAAUUAGUUAAUUUUUAACUGCAGAAGCAUAAAAAAUUAUUUCUUUUUAAAAUAAGAAAAAUAAUUUUUUUUCUAACUUUUUUCCUUUUUUUAUUUUCUAGUUAAUUUCUUUAUCUGGUUCGGUUCAUUUUUCCCUUUUUUAUUUCUUACUGUUUUCUGCAUGUUCUCCACGCUUCAACUUCGCCAAGCAUCAUAAGGCCACAAUAGCCAUGCCAGCAAUGGUGCAGCAACGUUAACGCCACUGUUCCAAGUCUUGGCCCAUCAUCUGCUUUUCAACAAACCUUAGCUUCUUCCCAAAUUCAUCAAUGAACCCCAGAACCAGACUAAUCAUUAAAAUUAUUAACAACCAUUUGCUUGGAUCAAUGUAUGCUUGGCAUGUCUAUGGGCUUACUUGUUAUGGUCGCUGAUGGCCUUGGGCUUGCCUGGAAUGGUCGCAACGCGCAGCCAUGGGCUUGCUUGGAAUGCCCGAACCCAGCUGCCAAGGUUUUGCUAGCGUAUCCAUGGAUUUUGCUGGACAUGGCAGUGCGAGGCCAUGGGUGUUGCCGGGCAAUGGACAUGGGUUUUGCUGGGCUGAUUUGGAAUUAACAGUGGCUAUGGAGUUGUUAAGUGUGUGAAAGAUAAAAAAAAAACGAACCAAGAAGAAGAUGAACAGGGAAUAGAACGAAGAAGAUGAAGAAAGUAGAAGAGAGGGAAAAAAUAUUUUGCUUUUUUAUAAAUUUUCGGAUUUUUAUUUCAAAAUUUAUAAUUUUUGUUUAAAUUUGAGAAUCUUAAGGGUAAAAUUUUCUUUGUAACUAUGUAGAAGGAGGUUUUCAGAUGGUUUUUGGUUGGGUUAACAUGAAAUAUGCUUGUUUUAUGAAAUAUUAUUAUUGAGGUUUUGUUUUAUUUUCUAAAAGUUAGAUUAGAGGAUGAUUUUCAUUAAUGACAUCCAUAAAGUUUGAAUUAGUUAUAUUAUAGAAAAAUAGGGAUUUAAAUGAUAUAUCUUUCCAACAUAAAUAUAUCAGUAACAUAAGUUAUUCUAUAAUUAACAGGGGUAUUAUCGUAUUUUAGUGAGUCAAUAUUGGUUGAUAGUUAAAUUUAACAGAUUUUAGAGAGUAAAUUGAAGUUUUUAUUUUUAUUUUUGAGUAAAUUAAAGUAUGUCAAUCUCAUAAGGGGUUAAAAUAUAAUUUACCCAAAAAUUAGUGUUAAAAUUUUAUAGAUGAGUGUAUAUUAAGAUGUUCAAAGUAUUAGGACAUAAUGAAUAUUAUCCUCAACCUCAAGAGAAACAUAUCAAUAAAAUAUACAAAAAUAGAAUGCAUUAGUACAUGUCAAUAAGAAGACCAAUUAGAUCAUGUCAUAUUUGUUAUGUGGUUAUUUUUAAAUUAAGAAAAGGAACAAUGAUGGUUUUACAAAGUUUGAAUAUAAAAUUUAUAAUCUAAAAUUAAUGAUAACGUGUUAUUAAGCUAAUAGAGUAAGAAGUCCCNNNNNNNNNNNNNNNNNNNNNNNNNNNNNNNNNNNNNNNNNNNNNNNNNNNNNNNNNNNNNNNNNNNNNNNNNNNNNNNNNNNNNNNNNNNNNNNNNNNNUUAGCUAUAGAGUAGAGUCCCAAAUGCAUGUACAUCAUAUCUUGGUAAGAAAUUGGUUCUACCCAAAAUACUUCUUUGUAUUGAAAUCAAUGAUGAUUGCUUGUUUAAAUCAUGAAAGUUAAAAUAAUUUUGUAAAUCAUUUCAUUCUUUAAUUUACGGUAUAAAAAUAAAUUAAAAAAAUGUUAAUUUCUCCCAUACUUUUAGGACUCAAAAAAUAACAAAAAGUCUUAACAUAUUUAAUGGUUAUAUAUAAAUCAUCCGUAUGUAUUUUUCUUGAGAGAAGCUCAAUUCGAUAGGCAAUGCUCCCCAUAGUUUUCUUUUCUAAUUAGAUAAAAGAACAAAAGAAAUUGAUUACAAUAAUUCACGGCGAAGUCACCUUGGUCUACCUGAUAUAUAUUACAGAGGUAAGCUUCUUUUUAAUGCCAAACUAGAAUAACAAACUUUAAUUUACUUCUUAAAGGGUAAAAACCUCAAUUUGUCCUUAUAUUUGUUCAAAAGAUACAUUUUGUCUUCUUAAUAUAAACAAGUUAAAUUGAUGUUUCACAUCUUUUAGAAAUAAAUUAAAAAUUGUUAUUCUAAGUAGGAGGUAAAUUUCAAAUAAAACAUGUGUUCAUAUGAUAGAUGUGCAUUUUACAAUAAUUAAUAAACAAAAAGGGUAGUGAUAUUUUCACCCUGCAAUUUUUGUAAAUCCACCCCCACUCCCAAGAAAUAAUUACAAUAAAUUCACAUAAUUUUUUAAAAACUCAAUAAAGAAAAUUUUUGGAGAUUUAAACUAUUAUAUACAAGAGGAUAGGAGUAAACAUUUUUCAUGCAGUAUAAAAAGAAUGGUGACACUCCUUUUCUUUCGGUAUUUUCGCACAAAAGCACGCUUAAUAACUGAUCAAAAUUAUUUCUCCUUUUCUUUGAUCGCUGAUUCGCUUCCCCUCUCCUGGAGCUGCUGAACUCCUUUGUUGCUGAUGAAGUGAACAGGUGAGGCUUUUCAAAUGACCACAAUAUGUAUAAAGACGAACUAAUUACACUAUCAGUGGCUCAAGGUUACCUUAAUGCAGAAGAGGGCAAAGAGAUGGAGAUUCGAUUCGAUUCGAUAAUAGUAGUUUAUUUUAAUUUUUAUUCAUUUAAUUUCAUAGCAGAAAUUUUUAUUUUCAUUUUUUUGUUGAAAAUUGGUAAAAACGAACUAAAAUGAGAUAAUUACAUUAAAACAAUCUUCAAUGACUAAAGUAAUUUGAAAAAAUAAAAAUAAAAAUAAACAAGCUCAAAAUUUACCCCUAAUCCGAACAUUAUCCGAAUUCAGCCUAAUUGACCCAAAUCUAAUUGUAAUCCAAACUUGACAUGACCCGCAAAUAAUUAUAACUCGAUCAGAUCCAAACUCAACCUGAAUUUUUAAUUCAAUACGAUCCAAUCCAAAUAUUCCAACCCCAUCAAAUUGAAACUUGAUCGGGUUGAUCCGAACCCGAAUUUGCCACUUCCGGAGGAGACCAUGACCCUAAAAGCUUUGAAAUAAUCUUUGCGGUUUCUUAAUGAAAUAUUAAAAGUUAUGUGCAAAAAGACUGAUUUGACCCUAGAAUACAUGAUAUAUAAAUUUCAGACAUUAUAUUCUGUGAAAUAAAGUCAAAGUAAACUGGUCGUUUGAUUUUUUAUUAAUUAUUUUCCAUUAAGACAAAAUGACAAAUAGACUUUUUUAAAAGUUUAAUAAAGUUUGGGCCUAACUCCUUGAUUUUUAUUUUUUAAUUAUUUUUCAUUUUGUUUUUUACUUGCAACAUUAGCUUUAAUUAUCAAUCAGUCUCCAAAUCAAAAUGACUGAAACCUGUAGCUACAAGCAAAAUUCUCAAAUUUUGAAAUUUCUAACGACUACUUAAUAGCUAUAAAUAGAAAAAUCAUCUAAAAUUAAUCCUCCUUCAGAGGCAGAUUAAAUUCUUAGUAAUUUCAUAUAAUUUCAUUUCAUCAGAACAAUUUUUCAAAAGCAAUUUUAUAAAUGGUUGUCGAAAGCUUUAUCCCUUAAUCAUAUUUCACGUAUUUUCUUUGUAAUAUGAGGCGCGUCCAUAGACCAUAGUAUGAUAUUUAUUGUAAUUAAAAUCAUUAUGGAACUGAUUUUAUUCUUGUUUCUCAAACAAAGUAUCUAACUGCAGAUGUAAUAAAUUACUAAUUGCCAUUAUUUGAGUCGCGCUCUUUGAAUUCGAUCUUGGAGUUUCAAAUGACCAAAUGAAUUAGUAAGAUAAUGGCUUUUCGUUCCGAGAGCUAUGCUAAGAAAAAGCAGGGAUGAUCAGAACAAAUAGUGUGUUGUGAUUGUUUUGUGUGUGUGUGUGUGUGUUUUUUUUUUAAGUUUUAUUUUGUUUAAUUAAGAAGGGUUAUGAUCUGUUCAUUGCAAUUGACAGAGAUGUUUUCAGUUGCCUAGACUUCGUAUUUUCAGUUUUAGUAAUACAUGUCGUUUUUCACCACAUUUGUUUAGUCUCUCCCUUUUAAAUCCCCUCACACACAAAAAAUUAGGAUUUGUAUUUUGUAAACUAAUAUUUUUCAUUUUGUUAAUGUAUUAAUUAUUAUUAUCUACAUUUAUGUGAUAGGGCACAUGCCACAUAAACUAAAAUUAAGUUAUAAAAUUUUGCAGCCCCUGAGCACUCAAUGUUUGUAGGCACAAGUUCAAGUCCCACCAUUUGUUAGGAUUUAAAUAAAGAACAUUAUAACCAUGCGUCCAAGAACUUAAAGUUAGCUUAAGUGCAUGGAUUCGAGUCCUAGUUAUUGUUGAAAUUCGAUUUCCUUUCUAAUUAAAUUAAGUAAGGGUAAAAUUAUCUCUCAAUUAAUAAAGACAGAGUAGAUAUCUCUCUUGAUUUUCCUCCCAAUUAAAUUAGUUAGAAGUAAAAUUAUCUCUCGAUUAGUAAGAGUAGAAUAAAUAUCUCUUUAGUAUUAUGCAAGGGUAGAAUUUUGGGUUGUACCAUGUUAGAAUUAUCAAGGAUAGUUUUGAUAGAAUUCUAAUUGUAAUAUAUAAGUGUAUAAAAAAAAUGAACAUUAAUGAAAGAUGUUUAGGUAAGGACUAUCUUGGAAUAGAAUUUUGAUUGUAAUAUAUCAAUAUAUAAAAAGAAAUUUAUGAAAAAUGUUUAACAAGGACUGUUUUGAUAUUUUAAUGAGUAGUAAAAAUUAAUGUUAAAAUUUGAUAGAACUUAUAUAAAUAAUCCUAGCUCUAAUAAAAUUUUGCUACAUAAUUAGUUUAUCCCUUAAAGAAACAUAUCAAAAAAAUAUACAAAAACACAAUGCAUGAGUACAUGUCAAUCACAAAUGAAAGCAAUUAAGAUAAAGAAUAUGAUUUAUUUUAUUUUAUUUUAGUUAUUUUUUUGUUUCUUUUGAAACAAGACCAAUUAGAUCAUGCAAGAAGUAAUUUUUUUUAAAAAAAUAAAAAAAGGACAAAUGAUGAAACCCACGUCUAAAGAUGCCGUUGUCGCGGAGGCCUAGAUCUCACUACACCCCAUCCCCUUCUACCAUAUUUUAUAAUUGAAGAGGUCAUUAUUGAAUUGAAAAAUUAUGAUUCAAAAAUCCAAAAGUAGAAAAAGAAAAGCAAUUGUUGGAAACACACUCGGAGUUUUAAAUUGACAUGAGAAAAGAAUAUAUUCAUCAACCUCAUACGUUAAAGAUGCGACGAGUUUAAGAAUAUAUUCCUAACGUGUGGGAAUUUAAAGAUGUUACUACAAAACAUGUGUUCGUCGGUGGAGUAGAAUCAGGGAAAUUAAAGAUGCUACUACAACCACUAACGUGUGGGUGGAGAUAAGCAUAACUUUUUUCAUCAAAUGCCAAAUCCCCCCAGGUGGAGAGUGGGGACUCCUUCGCAUAAAUGUUGAUAAAAUUUUGACUAUGAUGUUAUUAGAAAUUAGGGAAAACUUAUGGUGCAACUGUGAUAUCGUGUCAUAGUUGUAUCCAGCCGUUGGAUGUCAAUGGACUCUACCCAUACAAGUGUAUCCAACGGCUGGAUGUAAUUAUGGCACGGUACCACAGUUGCAUCGUAGCCGGACCCUAAAAAUUAAGAUAUUCUCUCUCUACGUAUGUCUGCACGAAAUAAUAUGCAAAUAUAGUAUUUUAGUUUAUUAUUAAUAGUUUUACAAUAAUAAAAAUCAUUUUGAUAGACAGGAAAAUGUCAUAUUCGCAUUUUAUUUUGUACGGACGUCUGCGAGAAAGAACAUAUAUAUAUAUAUAUAGAGGAACGUGUAUUUAAGAUUUAGCUAGUGUGAAGUUGGGAAAUUUUUUUUUUUGAACCCAAGCUAAAAUUAUUUCAAUAAAUUUUGAUCAUGGAGACUAACAAGAUUUUUUUAGUUAUAUUUAUUAAUUUUUUAGGGACUAAUAAAUUUUGAUCAUGGAGACUAAUAAGAUUUUUUAGUUAUAUUUAUUAAUUUUUUAGGGACUAACAUGAAUAUUAAUAAUUUUAUUGAGAUUAUUAAAAAAACAAUGUGCUAUUUUACAUCUAUGACUUUUCCAAUCUUUUUUUCUUUCGUUAUUUAUUCCUUUGUGAAUUUUAGUUAAUGCUUGAUAUUAUUUUUUUGCUCAUUUUUUAAAGUAGUAAUUAAAUCUGAACCCUUACAGUAGAAGAUUAUGAAAAAGUAAAGACACAAAAAUCAUAAAAAUCAUUAGUAGGUCCAAAUUUGUGCUAUUUUCAUACAUAACUUGAGAAUAUUUAUAAUUACGCAUCAGAACUAGUGGAGUAGAAUCAGGGAAAUUAAACAUUCUACAAUCAUUGACGUGUGGGGUGGGGAUAAGCAUAAACAUUUUCUAUGCAGUAUAAAAGAAUGCAAUAACUCCUUUCUUUCAUAUCUUCGCAACAAAAGCACAUCUAAUAACUCUUCAGAAUUCUCGUCUUCUUUGUCAGAAUGGUUGAUGCGAUCGUUUCCUCUCUCCUGGAGCAGCUGAUCUCUGUUGCGGCUGAUGAAGUGAAACAACAGGUGAGGCUUGUGACUGGUGUCCGAGAAGAAGUGAAAAAGCUUACCAGCAAUCUUCAAGCCAUUCAACUUGUGCUGGAAGAUGCAGAGAAAAGGCAAAUGCAGGACGACAAAGCUGUUACUUUUUGGCUGGAUCAGCUCAAAGGCGCAUCUUACGACAUGGAAGAUGUGUUGGAGGAGUGGACCACUGCAAGGCUCAAAUUGCAGAUUGAGGGCCUUGACGAUGACAAUACUCUUGCUCUUCCUGCUCAUAAGAAGAAGGUAUGUUCCUUCUUUCCUUCUGCCUCAAACUGCUUCGGUAGUUUCAAAAAACUCAGUCUUCGUCAUGACAUUGCAGUCAAGAUUAGAGAGAUCAAUAAAACGCUGGAUGAUAUUACCUCUCAAAAAGAUAGGUUUAAAUUUGCUGAGAAUGUGAGUAACAAUGUCAAGAAGCCAGAGCGAGUGGGAACCACCUCCUUGGUUGAUGAGGGAGAGGUUUGCGGUAGAGUUGAUGAGAAAAAUGAGCUCUGCAAGUUGUUGUGCGAAAGUAGUGAACAACAACAAGGCUUUCAUGUCAUUUCACUAGUUGNNNNNNNNNNNNNNNNNNNNNNNNNNNNNNNNNNNNNNNNNNNNNNNNNNNNNNNNNNNNNNNNNNNNNNNNNNNNNNNNNNNNNNNNNNNNNNNNNNNNNNNNNNNNNNNNNNNNNNNNNNNNNNNNNNNNNNNNNNNNNNNNNNNNNNNNNNNNNNNNNNNNNNNNNNNNNNNNNNNNNNNNNNNNNNNNNNNNNNNNNNNNNNNNNNNNNNNNNNNNNNNNNNNNNNNNNNNNNNNNNNNNNNNNNNNNNNNNNNNNNNNNNNNNNNNNNNNNNNNNNNNNNNNNNNNNNNNNNNNNNNNNNNNNNNNNNNNNNNNNNNNNNNNNNNNNNNNNNNNNNNNNNNNNNNNNNNNNNNNNNNNNNNNNNNNNNNNNNNNNNNNNNNNNNNNNNNNNNNNNNNNNNNNNNNNNNNNNNNNNNNNNNNNNNNNNNNNNNNNNNNNNNNNNNNNNNNNNNNNNNNNNNNNNNNNNNNNNNNNNNNNNNNNNNNNNNNNNNNNNNNNNNNNNNNNNNNNNNNNNNNNNNNNNNNNNNNNNNNNNNNNNNNNNNNNNNNNNNNNNNNNNNNNNNNNNNNNNNNNNNNNNNNNNNNNNNNNNNNNNNNNNNNNNNNNNNNNNNNNNNNNNNNNNNNNNNNNNNNNNNNNNNNNNNNNNNNNNNNNNNNNNNNNNNNNNNNNNNNNNNNNNNNNNNNNNNNNNNNNNNNNNNNNNNNNNNNNNNNNNNNNNNNNNNNNNNNNNNNNNNNNNNNNNNNNNNNNNNNNNNNNNNNNNNNNNNNNNNNNNNNNNNNNNNNNNNNNNNNNNNNNNNNNNNNNNNNNNNNNNNNNNNNNNNNNNNNNNNNNNNNNNNNNNNNNNNNNNNNNNNNNNNNNNNNNNNNNNNNNNNNNNNNNNNNNNNNNNNNNNNNNNNNNNNNNNNNNNNNNNNNUAGAAAAGAAUGUUUGUGGGUAGAAAUUAAUGGUACCAAAGAAUCAGUCAUAAACUCUUUUGGUGACAAAGUCCAUCACUUAGGGUUAAAGUUUGAAGAAGGCGCUUCAUUUCCUAUGUCCAUUCAUGGACUUAAUAGAUUGCGUACCCUCUUAAUUUAUGACCAAAGUCCUUACAAUCCGUCUCUUAGUAGUAGCAUCCUUCCGGAGUUAUUUAAUAAAUUGGCGUGUUUAAGGGCAUUAGUUAUAAGGCAAUCGUACUUAUUAUUUUUGUAUCCUGAGGCAAAUAGGAUUAGAGAAAUUCCAGAAAAUGUCAGAAAAUUGAUACAUUUAAAAUAUCUUAAUUUGUCUGAAUUACACAUAGAGAGACUGCCUGAGACUUUGUGUGAAUUAUAUAAUUUACAAAAGCUAGAUAUUAGGCGGUGCCCAAAUCUUAGGGAAUUACCUGCGGGGAUUGGGAAGUUAAUGAACAUGAGGAGUUUACUGAAUGCUGAAACUCGUUCGUUGAAGUACAUGCCAAUAGGGAUUUCCAAAUUAACCAGUCUUCGAACAUUAGAAAAGUUUGUUGUGGGUGGAGGUGUUGAUGGUGGCAGCACGUGUAGGC